rnacentral:rRNA from 1 species
GAUGAACGCUGGCGGCAGGCCUAACACAUGCAAGUCGAGCGAGUGGCGGACGGGUGAGUAAUGUAUGGGAACCUGCCUGAUGGAGGGGGAUAACUACUGGAAACGGUAGCUAAUACCGCAUACCAUCAGAUGUGCCCAUAUGGGAUUAGCUAGUUGGUGGGGUAAUGGCUCACCUAGGCGACGAUCCCUAGCUGGUUUGAGAGGAUGACCAGCCACACGGGAACUGAGACACGGUCCAGACUCCUACGGGAGGCAGCAGUGGGGAAUAUUGCACAAUGGGCGCAAUCCUGAUGCAGCCAUGCCGCGUGUAUGAAGAAGGCCUUCGGGUUGUAAAGUACUUUCGGCGGAGAGGCGUUACCCGCAGAAGAAGCACCGGCUAACUCCGUGCCAGCAGCCGCGGUAAUAC